rnacentral:rRNA from 1 species
GUGGGGAAUUUUGGACAAUGGGCGCAAGCCUGAUCCAGCAAUGCCGCGUGCAGGAAGAAGGCCUUCGGGUUGUAAACUGCUUUUGUACGGAACGAAAAGGCUCUGGUUAAUACCUGGGGCUCAUGACGGUACCGUAAGAAUAAGCACCGGCUAACUACGUGCCAGCAGCCGCGGUAAUACGUAGGGUGCAAGCGUUAAUCGGAAUUACUGGGCGUAAAGCGUGCGCAGGCGGUUUUGUAAGACAGAGGUGAAAUCCCCGGGCUCAACCUGGGAAUUGGCUGUGUGACUGCAAGGCUGGAGUGCGGCAGAGGGGGAUGGAAUUCCGCGUGUAGCAGUGAAAUGCGUAGAUAUGCGGAGGAACACCGAUGGCGAAGGCAAUCCCCUGGGCCUGCACUGACGCUCAUGCACGAAAGCGUGGGGAGCAAACAGGAUUAGAAACCCUUGUAGUCC